rnacentral:rRNA from 1 species
GACGAACGCUGGCGGCGUGCUUAACACAUGCAAGUCGAGCGGUAAGGCCCUUUCGGGGGUACACGAGCGGCGAACGGGUGAGUAACACGUGGGUGACCUGCCCUCAGCUCUGGGAUAAGCCUGGGAAACCGGGUCUAAUACUGGAUAUGACUCCAUGACGCAUGUUGUGGGGUUGGAAAGCCUUGUGCGGCUGAGGAUGGGCCCGCGGCCUAUCAGCUUGUUGGUGGGGUGAUUGGCCUACCAAGGCGACGACGGGUAGCCGGGCCUGACGAGGGCGACCGGGCCACACUGGGACCUGAGACACGGGCCCAGACUCCUACGGGAGGCAGCCAGUGGGGAAUCUUGCGCAAUGGGCGAAAGCCUGACGCAGCGACGCCGCGUGAGGGAUGACGGCC